AUGAACAUGAACACAGCGACGGCUCUCGUGAUCAGCUCUGACACUUUAAGGCUGAGAUGUGAAGUGAGCCAUGGGAACAGAGGAACAGCUGCAGUUCCCGGGCUGUGGGAUCCAUCAUCCCCUUGCGUGUCUUGGUCCAUGGGCAAGGUCCUAACAAGAAGUUGCAUCUGUUUCACAUGAAGUUGGUGUAAAAUACAGUGGCUUAAGUGGAAGUUCUGGGGAUAGAUGAUCCAAUUUUAAAGAGAGGUGAGUAUAAAACUUAUUCCUGGUAAUAAGCUCAGUGAGAUGGAUAUGGUUAGAAAGUAAUCAGAUAACGAUGUAUGUUUAGACAGAACCUUCCAUUGCUUAUUGGAGCCUCCUGAAGGUUUGAGCUUUAUUCAAAACUUCAUGAUUAGCGGCUGUAUUUCUUCUCUCCUUUUAACUUUACAAUGAGGGCAGCUGAGUACAUACAUUUCUGCUGAGCUCAGCAGAAAUGGACCUUCAGAGUGUUAUAAAUACAGCAUGAAAAUCACACUGGAAAACUUUAUCCUAGGGACUUCAGGCUGGAUAUUUAACUUGUGAGCAGUUUUCUAUAAUUUUGCUCUUAAUCUCUCUCUCUGUUCCCAGUUUGGAAAAGAAGGAUAAGGCCAUGUAUUCACUCAAGGGUGCUAUGUUAUCAAGUGUUCAGAUAUGAUGGUGAAGGCAAUUGGAAA
rnacentral:lncRNA from 1 species